GAUGAAGAACGCAGCGAAAUGCGAUACUUGGUGUGAAUUGCAGAAUCCCGUGAACCAUCGAGUCUUUGAACGCAAGUUGCGCCCGAAGUCAUUAGGCCGAGGGCACGCCUGCCUGGGUGUCACACGUCGUUGCCCCCCCAUCUACUCCUUCGGGAUUGCGGGGGGCGGAUGAUGGCCUCCCGUGCGCCUCGUCGCGCGGUUGGCAUAAAUGCCAAGUCCUCGGCGACGCACGCCACGACAAUCGGUGGUUGCGAAACCUCGGUUGCCCGUCGUGUGCGGUCGUCGCGCAUCGAGGGCUCGAAAAAAUUGCCGGGCUCCGGCUCGGCUUUCAACGCGACCCCAGGUCAGGCGGGGUUACCCGCUGAAUUUAAGCAUAUCAAUAAGCGGAGGA
rnacentral:misc_RNA from 1 species